UGCCUGUGGGAGGGGCUGCAGGUACAGGGGGUAAAGCCUACCCUGUAGGUGAGUGCCCUCUCCUCCCUCCUCCUCCACCGGGGUAGCAGCAGCAGCCCUGGGCUCAGCAGCUAUUAAAAGGGCCCGGGGCUCCCUACUUCCACUGCCCUGGCCUUGUAAAUAGCCAUGGGAGCCCUGGGGAAG